GAUGAACGCUGGCGGCGUGCUUAACACAUGCAAGUCGAGCGAGAAGUUUUGAAAAGAUUCUUCGGAUGAAAUUUAAAAUGGAAAGCGGCGGACGGGUGAGUAACGCGUAGGCAACCUGCCCCAUACAAAGGGAUAGCAUUUGGAAACGAAUAUUAAUACCUUAUGAAACUUAACUAGUGCAUGCUAGGUAGGUCAAAGAUUUAUCGGUAUGGGAUGGGCCUGCGUCUGAUUAGCUAGUUGGUGAGGUAACGGCUCACCAAGUCGACGAUCAGUAGCCGACCCGAGAGGAGGAUCAGCCACACUGGAAGGGGGGCAGGGGCCAGACUGGGACGGGAGACAGGAGCGGGAAACAUGGGGGAGUGGGCGGGGGGAUAAUUCACACAUGGGGGGAAGGUGAAGAAGGCCUGCGGGGUGUAAAGGAGGAGGGCUUUGGGAGAAAAGAUUUAUGUUAAGGGCGAGAAAAACUGACGGUACCCAAAGAAAAAGCCCCGGCUAACUUCGUG
rnacentral:rRNA from 1 species